rnacentral:lncRNA from 1 species
AUGGAUGCAUUCCAGAGUAGAGUCAUUGGGAAAUCUACUGGAUGUUCAGCUUUUCUAAACUAUAAGGAUCUCCCAACCUUCAACUUCAGUGACUUUAUUUACCUGCAAUCUGCAUGUGCCCUGGAGCAAAAGAACUAUCAAGAACUAUGACAAACCAUAAUCUGGUAUUAGAGACACAAUAGUCUACCAUCUCCUUGGAGCACUGAACCUCAGUGUUGAAGCUGAUGGCAGUUGAUCUAAAGGGUUUUGGACAGCACAAAGCUUUCAAUCAGAGUUUUGUGAAUAAGAAUGUGA